rnacentral:rRNA from 1 species
GAUGAACGCUAGCUACAGGCUUAACACAUGCGAGUCGAGGGGAAACGCCAUCGAAAGCUUGCUUUUGAUGGGCGUCGACCGGCGCACGGGUGAGUAACGCGUAUCCAACCUGCCCAUCACUUGGGAAUAACCUUGCGAAAGUAAGACUAAUACCCAAUGACAUCCCACGAAGACAUCUGAAUGGGAUUAAAGAUUUAUCGGUGAUGGAUGGGGAUGCGUCUGAUUAGCUUGUUGGCGGGGUAACGGCCCACCAAGGCAACGAUCAGUAGGGGUUCUGAGAGGAAGGUCCCCCACAUUGGAACUGAGACACGGUCCAAACUCCUACGGGAGGCAGCAGUGAGGAAUAUUGGUCAAUGGGCGAGAGCCUGAACCAGCCAAGUAGCGUGCAGGAUGACGGCCCUAUGGGUUGUAAACUGCUUUUAUAAGGGAAUAAAGUGGGUCUCGUGAGACUUUUUGCAUGUACCUUAUGAAUAAGGACCGGCUAAUUCCGUG